UACGUAGGUGGCAAGCGUUAUCCGGAUUUAUUGGGCGUAAAGGGAACGCAGGCGGUCUUUUAAGUCUGAUGUGAAAGCCUUCGGCUUAACCGGAGUAGUGCAUUGGAAACUGGGAGACUUGAGUGCAGAAGAGGAGAGUGGAACUCCAUGGGUAGCGGUGAAAUGCGUAGAUAUAUGGAAGAACACCAGUGGCGAAAGCGGCUCUCUGGUCUGUAACUGACGCUGAGGUUCGAAAGCGUGGGUAGCAAACAGG
rnacentral:rRNA from 1 species